rnacentral:rRNA from 1 species
GGUAACUACGGGCAGGGGGCUGGUGUGAUGUGUAGGGUGCGAGCGUUAAUCGGAAGUACUGGGCGUAAAGCGUGCGCAGGCGGGUUUGUAAGACAGAGGUGAAAUCCCCGGGCUCAACCUGGGAACUGCCUUUGUGACUGCAAAGCUGGAGUGCGGCAGAGGGGGAUGGAAUUCCGCGUGUAGCAGUGAAAUGCGUAGAUAUGCGGAGGAACACCGAUGGCGAAGGCAAUCCCCUGGGCCUGCACUGACGCUCAUGCACGAAAGCGUGGGGAGCAAACAGGAUUAGAUACCCUGGUAGUC